rnacentral:rRNA from 1 species
UACGAAGGGGGCUAGCGUUGUUCGGAAUUACUGGGCGUAAAGCGCGCGCAGGCGGUUUCUCAAGUCAGUGGUGAAAGCCCGGAGCUCAACUCCGGAACUGCCAUUGAAACUGUGAAACUUGAGGACGAGAGAGGUGAGUGGAAUUCCCGGUGUAGCGGUGAAAUGCGCAGAUAUCGGGAAGAACACCUAUGGCGAAGGCAGCUCUCUGGGACGGUACUGACGCUGAGACGCGAAAGCGUGGGGAGCGAACAGG